GAUGAAGAACGCAGCGAAAUGCGAUACGUAAUGUGAAUUGCAGAAUUCAGUGAAUCAUCGAGUCUUUGAACGCACAUUGCGCCCCUUGGUAUUCCGAGGGGCAUGCCUGUUCGAGCGUCAUUUCAACCCUCAAGCACAGCUUGGUCUUGGGCUUCGCCGCUAACCCGGCGGGUCUUAAAAUCAGUGGUGGUGCCGUCGGGCCCUGAGCGCAGUAAUCUCUCUCGCUAUAGGGUCCCGGCGGAUGCUGGCCAGUAACCCCCAAUUUUCUAUGGUUGACCUCGGAUCAGGUAGGGAUACCCGCUGAACUUAAGCAUAUCAAUAAGCGGAGGA
rnacentral:misc_RNA from 1 species